CUACAACAAUCUGCUAUCUUAAUAUGUGGUAACAUUUGGCUGUAUUUUGAUAGGUGUUUUAUGUUAUGUUUAUGGUUCAUAACCAUUGUACUUACAUUGUAUUUUGACUUUUAUAUGUUUUAAAAUACACAGACAUAAAUAUAAGAAAAGACUUAUCAGUGGUUAUUACUGAGUGUUAACAUUAUGGAUUAGUUUUAUAUUCUUCAUUACUCUCAUCUGCAUUUUUCUGAGAUUUUACAAUGACAAUGAAUUACUUUUAUGUUAAAAAUAAAGAGGAUAAUUUUAAGUAGCUACACCACACAACACAAAUGGUUAUUUUGAGGGUUAAAUAAAACAGUAUAUAAUAAUAAUCUAGCAAAGAACUCAUAACAGAUAUUCAAUAAAUAAGUUAAUUUUAGUAUAUUAAUUCUAAAAUUAGCAAAUGCAUCCCUUUAAGAUUAAUCCAUGCACAGCUUUUAGCCCUGAAAGUAACUACUGGACACUAAAAAUUAGAACUUACAGAAUCCUUUAUAAUUUUUACUUCUUUACCAUCAUAUAUCUUAUAUUCCAAGGAUGAAGCGAGAAUGAAGAGAAUAAGAUGAAAACAAGAGCAAGAUAUUUUCCUACUGCCUUAUAAUUGUACAAUGUUUCAGAUGCAGGGAUUCUCAAGAGAGGUGAAACUCAAGGAAAUGUCAUUUACUGCUCUAGUUUUCUCAAACUUUACACAAUCCACAAGCAUAUUGGAACAAAAAUGGUGGGGAACGUAAGAGAGAGACUGGAAAAAAUGCUCAUCAGAGUAAAGAGCAGAAGAAAGAAAUGGAUGAAGUGGAUAUAAGACCUGUCCUGCUACACAAACAAUAUUAAGGUAAGCUGCUGUGCUGUGAGACGGACACAUGUCAAGGAAUUGAAGAGGCCUCUAAGAGUUAAAAGUGGAACCUGAUUGACAGCCAGUCAAAUUGAGACUGCAGUCCUACAACUUCAAGCAACUUAAUUCUGCCAACAAGCAUAUGUGCAUGUAAGAAGACCACGAGCUCCAGAAAAUAAUGCAGCCCAUCCAAGAAUGCAGUCUAUCCAAGACUGAGACCUUGAAAAGAAGACCCACCUAAGUGCUGUGUCACCUAAUCCACAGAAACUAUGAGAUAAUAAAUGUUUGUUAAGUCACUAACAUCGUGAUAAUUUGCUCUGCAGCAAUAGAAAACUCCUACACUAACUAAACCUAAAAUUAAGACCCAGAAGAAUUAAACAGUUCCUAAGUAACUUUGCUAUGUCUGAGAAUAAAGUUCAAAGAUACUUAUAAGCAUACAAGUCCCAAAAUCCAACAAGAUGAAGUUUACAAUGUCUGACAACCAAUGAAAAUUACCAGUGAUACACAAAACAAGAAAAUGAAAAACCAUGGUUAAAAAAAAGAGAGACACUGACACAGAAAUAACACAAAUCAUAGAAUUAAUACACAAAUACAUUAAAGCAGUUACUAAGGCUGUAUUUCUUGUAUUAGGAAAACUGGAAGAAGUAACAUGGAAAAUAUAAAAGAGAUUUAAACCUAAAUUCCAGAGGUAAGAAAAAUAAUGUGUGACUUGAAAAAUACCCUACAAAAAAUUGAAGCUACAUUAAACAUUUCUGGUGACCUACAGGACAAUUUCAAAGAGCCAAAUAUAUGAGUUAUAAAAUUCCAAAAGAGAGAUAUCCAAAAUAAUAAAAAUUGAAAAAAUAAUUGCCAACAGUAUUUUUAAAAUUUGAUGAAAACUAUAAAGCCAUAGAUCUAAGAAAUUAAAUGAAUCUCAACUAGAAGAAUUUUUUUCAAAAACCAACACCAAAACACAUUAUUGUAAAACUGCUUAAUAUCAGCAGUUAAAUUGGGAAAACAAACAAAACAAUCUACAAAGAUCGAGAAGAAAAAGUUACCUUAUAUAUGGAAAAACAAAGAUAAGAAUGACAGAAGCAGAUUUCUUGUCAGACAACACAAGUUAGAAGACAGUAGAGCAACAUUUUUAAAGUGCUGAAAGGAAAAAGUAAACUAGCAUUCCUAUGCAUUUAAGCUCUCUUUCUAAAAACAAAAAUGUAAUAAAAGCUUUUUUACACAAACAAAAGCUUGAAAUAAUUAUUAGCAAACUUGCACUACAAUAAAUGUUGAGGGAAGUCCUUCUGUGUAAAGGAAAAUAACAAACAGAAACUUAUUUCUACAUAAAGGUACAAAGAGUGUCAGAAAUGGUAAUGACAUAAUUAAAACGGCAUAAAUCUAGAGCAUUUUUCUUACUAUUUAAAUAUCUGAUGAAGAUAAUCUUUGACAGUAAAAACAAUAAUGUGUUAUAGGGAUUAUAAUAUGCAGAUGUAAAAUGUAUGAUAACAAUAACAUAAAUUCUAGGAGAGGAAAAAUAAAGGAUUUUUCAGAUGGCCUUUAUACUAUAUAAUAAGUUGUAUAUUAUCAUUUGAAAGUACAUUAUGAUGAGUUACCCGUGAAUCUUAUAACCCCUAAAAUAAUAAACAUGAUAAGACAAGAAGUUAUAACUAAUACAACAAAAUAUGAAAAAAUAAUAGUACAAAUUACUUAAAUAAUCCAAAGGUAGGAAUAAAAAUAGAUUUAAAGAGGAAUACAGAUAAAUGGGACAAAUAGGACACAAAUAGCAAGAUGACAGACACAACUAAGGACCUAUACUAAUAAUCAUUAAGUGUUAUCCGAAAAAUAUCUAAACAUCCCAAUUAAAUGCAGAGUUUUUUUAACUGGCUACAGAAAC
rnacentral:lncRNA from 1 species